GGUAAGGAGGUGGUCCAACAUACUUAUUGGGCUCGUCUACACAGGUGUGUGCGCUGCUAAGGUGAUGAAUAGAUGUGGGAUGGAUCGUACAAUUUCGCUACAAGUGGUAUCAAAGCCCAUGGUUCGGUGGGAGUCCAAGUAUCAACUUCAAGGUGCGAGGGGGUGGGAUGGAUCGUACAAUUCCGCUACAAGUGGUAUCAAAGCCCAUGGUUCGGUGGGAGUCCAAGUAUCAACUUCAAGGUGCGAGGGGGUGCGCGAGAGGUACAAUUCGCAGGCCUCGUGGGUGGAGUAAAUAGAGUUGAAUCAAGUGGAGCACGGCCUCGUGUCAGGUGGAGCACGGGGGCCUCUAGGAAAAACUGCUGGGAGUAGUAUUAGAUACUCUAGUAUGAUACUUGUGAUGGGUAUUCAAGUGAAAGGUGGAGAUUGUUGGGAUUUCACAUGAAUCCCACAUCGGUUAAAUUCAAGAGUGUAGAUGGCUUAAUAAGUAUGGUAAAACAUCAACCUAAU
rnacentral:lncRNA from 1 species